CAGUCGCCGCGGUAAUACGUAGGGUCCGAGCGUUGUCCGGAAUUAUUGGGCGUAAAGGGCUCGUAGGCGGUUUGUCGCGUCGGGAGUGAAAACCAGCAGCUUAACUGCUGGCCUGCUUUCGAUACGGGCAGACUUGAGGCAUUCAGGGGAGAACGGAAUUCCUGGUGUAGCGGUGAAAUGCGCAGAUAUCAGGAGGAACACCGGUGGCGAAGGCGGUUCUCUGGGAAUGUUCUGACGCUGAGGAGCGAAAGUGUGGGGAGCGAACAGGAUUAGAUACCCCCGUAGUCCCUGUCUCUUAUAC
rnacentral:rRNA from 1 species